rnacentral:rRNA from 1 species
UACGGAGGGAGCUAGCGUUGUUCGGAAUUACUGGGCGUAAAGCGCGCGUAGGCGGCUUUGUAAGUUAGAGGUGAAAGCCUGGAGCUCAACUUCAGAAUUGCCUUUAAGACUGCAUCGCUUGAAUCCGGGAGAGGUGAGUGGAAUUCCGAGUGUAGAGGUGAAAUUCGUAGAUAUUCGGAAGAACACCAGUGGCGAAGGCGGCUCACUGGACCGGCAUUGACGCUGAGGUGCGAAAGCGUGGGGAGCGAACAGG